UACGUAGGGUGCAAGCGUUGUCCGGAAUUAUUGGGCGUAAAGAGCUCGUAGGCGGUCAGUCGCGUCUGCUGUGAAAACUCGGGGCUUAACCCCGGGCCUGCAGUGGGUACGGGCUGACUAGAGUGCGGUAGGGGAGACUGGAAUUCCUGGUGUAGCGGUGAAAUGCGCAGAUAUCGGGAGGAACACCAGUAGCGAAGGCGGCUCGCUGGGCCACACCUGACGCUGAGACGCGAAAGCUAGGGGAGCGAACAGG
rnacentral:rRNA from 1 species